GGGGAUGAAAGUCAAAUACCAUACUGGGACUGUUUUCCUUUUUCUUUACGCUUCCUAUCUCCAUAGGGAGAGAUUCCGAUGCUUUUUUUGGGUCGUUGUUUUUUUCGACUUGGCCGCUCCACUGACUCACUGGUUUCCAUGUUGAGUCAGAGUGCUGUUUGCGAACAGUCAGCACAUUCCGUCACCAUGGCGAUGGAUACAGGUUUCUUUUUUACAAUGAGUGGCUGUAUUUACUGCCCUUCCUCCUCCUCCUCCUCCUCCUCCUCCUCCUCCUCCUCCUCCUCCUCCCUCAAUGGAACAAAAAGGUUUUACUUAUAGGUUAAACCAAUGUUUAGUUUUUGGGUCUUUUUCGUUGUUCUUUCCGUGCCUGGUAACAGUUGCGUUGCAGAGAGAAAACUAAAAUGGUGGACAUUGUAACAAUUAUCUUCUGACAACUGACGGCUAUCAAAAUGCGUUUCAGCCAAUGGGAUCUCUCUGUUCAGUUUGUGAGCAAACAGCGCUCCAGAGAGUACAAAUGAUAGUACUGUAGGAGUAGUAUGAGUAGUAGUACUUUUAAUAGUAGUACCUUAGUAGUAGUAGUAGUAUUAGUAUUAAUAUUAGUUCAAGCAUUAGUAGUUGUAGCAGUAGUAGUAGUAUUAGGCCUAUUAGUAGUUAUAGUAGUAGUGGUAGUAUUAGUAGUUGUAGUAUUAUUUGUAGUCGUUGUGGUUAUAUAAGGAGUAGUAAUAGUACAAGUAGGAUUAGUAAUAGAGGUAGUUUAGCUUAUAAGAUAAGGUAAGAGAUAAGAUAGCCUUUAUUGUCAUUGUCGCCUAUUCAACGAAAUUGGGAGUGCCAACUGAAGGUGCAUUACACAUACAAAAAACAAGCGAGCAAUUUAAGUUAAAAAUUACGGAAAUAACAAAAAAACAUUUGGAACAAGAAAAGGACGGGCGAGGUGAAUACUAAACAUAAAAUAUAAAAGGCCGUAAGCAUAUUGCACUUUAUAGAAAGUGAGGGUUAGAUUAUAGUUAGUAGUAGUUAGUAGUAGAAGUAUAGUAUUAGUAGUAGUAGUAUAAGGUACAUUAGUAGUAGUGGUAGAAGUAGUAGUUAUAUAGUGCUCAUCUAGUUAUUUUAGGAGUGUGCAAUCUUCAACAUAGCACACUUCUAGAACAAAAGCAUCGCAAUGAAUAGUUAGCUCUUGUUGCCGUGGACGACUGCAUAGAAAGGAAAGGAGGCUCAACGGGUGUGUGUGUGUGUGUGUGUGUGUGCGUGUGUGUGUGUGUGUGUGUGUGUGUGUGUGUGUGUCUGUCUGUCUGUCUGUCUGUCUGUCUGUCUGUGUGUGUGUGUGUGUGUGUGUGUGUGUGUGUGUGUGUGUGUGUGUGUCUUUGUGUGUGUGUCUGUCGGUAUGUGCGUGUGUGUGUGUGCGUGUGUGUGUCUGUCUGUCUGUCUGUCUGUCUGUCUGUGUGUGCGUGUGUGUGUGUGUGUGUGUGUGUGUGUAUGUCUUUGUGUGUGUGUCUGUCUGUAUGUGUGUGCGUCUGUCUGUAUGUGUGCGUCUGUCUGUCUGUCUGUCUGUCUGUCUGUCUGUCUGUCUGUCUGUCUGUGUGUGUGUGUGUGUGUGUGUGUGUGUGUGUGUGUGUGUGUGUGUGUGUGUGUGUGUGUGUGUGUGUGUGUGUGUGUGUGUGCGUGUGGACAGACCGGCCCCUCCUCCUCGUUCCUGGCCCACGGGCCCGGGCGUUGAGGGCCCGUGUCCUGGACGGCCCGGCCCCCAGCUGACCUCCACUCCGGGUCAGGGGCCCCGCCGCCCCGGCUGCCAGCGAGCCGGGGCCGGGCCCACCUGGACGGGCCCCGGAGCAGCCAGCGUGUCUUUACGGAAACGAGAAGAUGGCUCAACCCAUAAUCGAGGGAGACUUCGACGUCACCAACUAUCUCACCAACCACUUGGCAUCCUAUUCGACCGGGUUUGAUUUGCUGCGGGACCUCCAGGGGCAAGUGGGCGGGGGCCACUCUGGCUCCGCCCCCUUCCCCGAUGACAGCUUCCUGUUUCAGAGCGGCGGUGUCGAUCGCUACCUCAGUCAGAUCUACUCCAUCUACCUGGACUCCUGAUGCCGUGGCGAGCCCCCCCCCCUCUUCAAUCAGCCCAAACUGAUUUUAUUACCCGACGGUUGCUGACAUGGUAGAACGCCAAUUCAGAUUUCAGGUUUCAAUUAAGAAUUGCAGCAACGUCCCUUUUUUUUGUCCCCCCUAACCGUACUCUGAUGUAUUUCUAAUGUUCCAGUAUCGGCUCGUAUGUGGACAAGUUACUUUGGGGUCAUUACAGUAGAAUGCCUAGAAUCAAAUCAAUCCUGACAGGUACCUGAUUGACGCCUGCAUUGAGCCUAUUGACAGACACCAGCUGUAUCAGCUGGCGUGUUUCCAUAACAGCACACCUUCAGAGUGGCAUGCCAACACGACAUGAGUUUGUGUUUUCAGCCCAGGUCACUCAUGGACUGGCGUCCUUGUAGCCAUAGUCAUCGGAGACCAAGUGAAGCGUGGGAAUAAAACACAUCAUCAUGAGUGUACUGUUCAACCAUGACCGUGACGGGCCACUCUAACCUGUAAUCGUUUCCAAGUGCCGAUGGGCACUUGAGGCUCAUUCGCCAGGUUUGGAUUAAUUAGGCGCUCUGUUGCAAUGUGUCAUCUGGCUGAGUGUGGUCAGAAUGGUGGACUCCAUCCAUGACUUCAUCCAUUCUUUCAUCGUUCAUCAUUUAUACGUUAUAUUGACGGGGACCUUUAGCAAGGGAUUUUGGACCCGCGACCCAUCUCUACCCUUUUUCCCUUGUUCGUACACUUUUCUGGAUGAGAAAUGUCCAGCCGACGGGCCGGCUGACUUUGGAACAACAUCGCCCCCUGGUGUUCAAAAUAGUUAGUGGCCCGUACUGAACUGUUGCGUGAAAGACGCAAAGGCGCGAUACUUGGACGUUUAACUGAAAAGUGACUGCUGAUGGAAUCAAACAGAUUCCACUCUAUUAUAUCUCUUUACCUUGUCGUCACUAACAAAUGAUGAUCCCAGAGGACCAAUAAUGUUGAACAAAGGUCAGACUGUUCAGCUGUAGCCAAGACUGGACAAACAUUUACAAAAGGAGAGAUAACGAACACUAUACCAUUUUUAUAGCCUAUAACCUACAUUUUUUAUGAAAUUUUUAUAUACUAUGUUUUCCAAAAGAUUUAAAAUGUUUUCCAAUGCAAGAGAAGGAACAGUGAUAUUUACAUGCACUCCAAAUAUGUUUACAUUGACUUUUAUCGAAUGAUCACGUUCAAAAUGUUUGCUAUUAUUAUUGCAUGUAACCAUUGUGCUGGAUUAUAUGAAUCUCUUCUGCAAUGUGUUUCUUCUUUAUAAUGCCAAAUCCACAAAAGAUUUUGUAUAUAAAAAAAUGAAAUUAUUUACACCAAGCCGUUUGAGUCCUAUAGACGCCGGUUACAGAGAAACUUUACAGCGCUCAUCCAGCAGAUCGCAGUGCAACCUCGUCACACAACGACAAGUUUGUCUGCAACCUGUGCGCUUUGAAUUGAGCGCAGUAAAUGGAUAUGCCAGGCUGCGUAAAGACACACACACACACACACACACACACACACACACACACACACACACACAC
ensembl:lncRNA